rnacentral:tRNA from 1 species
GCGCCCGUAGCUCAGCUGGAUAGAGCGUCGGUCUACGGAACCGAAGGUCACAGGUUCGAAUCCUGUCGGGCGCGCUA